UACGUAGGGUGCGAGCGUUGCCCGGACUUAUUGGGCGUAAAGGGCGCGUAGGCGGCCACGCACGUCCGUUGUGAAAUCGCCCGGCUCAACUGGGCGGGGUCGGCGGAUACGGCGUGGCUGGAGCAAGCUAGGGGGCAAUGGAAUUCCCGGUGUAGUGGUGGAAUGCGUAGAUAUCGGGAGGAACACCAGUGGCGAAGGCGGUUGCCUGGAGCUUUGCUGACGCUGAGGCGCGAAAGCGUGGGGAGCGAUCCGG
rnacentral:rRNA from 1 species